AGGACGAACGCUGGCGGCGCGCUUAACACAUGCAAGUCGAGCGAGAACCCAGGCUUCGGUCUGGGGGAAAGCGGCGAACGGGUGAGUAACACGUGGGUAAUCUGCCCUCGACAUCGGGAUAGCCCGGGGAAACCCGGAUUAAUACCGAAUAGCCCAUCAGCUUUUCGGAGCGGAUGGAAAAGGUAGCUUUGGCCUCCGGUCGAGGAGGAGCCCGCGGCGGAUUAGCUUGUUGGUGAGGUAACGGCUCACCAAGGCUUCGAUCCGUAGCUGGUCUGAGAGGACGAUCAGCCACACUGGGACUGAGACACGGCCCAGACUCCUACGGGAGGCAGCAGUGGGGAAUCUUGCGCAAUGGGCGAAAGCCUGACGCAGCGACGCCGCGUGAGGGAAGAAGGCCUUAGGGUUGUAAACCUCUUUCAGGAGGGACGAAGCCACUCGGGUUAAUAGGCCCAGAGGGUGACGGUACCUCCGAGAAGAAGCCCCGGCUAACUACGUGCCAGCAGCCGCGGU
rnacentral:rRNA from 1 species